rnacentral:rRNA from 1 species
AAAAAAAGUAGGGAAAUGUGUGAGCCAGCUGCCAAGAAAAGCCGCUAUUGUUUGUACUGUACCCGUACCGUAAACCGACACAGGUAGGUGAGGAGAGAAUCCUAAGGCCGACGGGAGAAGCAUUGUUAAGGAACUCGGCAAAAUGACUCCGUAACUUCGGGAGAAGGAGUGCCAGUGAGAGCUGGCCGCAGAGAAUUGGCCCAAGCAACUGUUUAGCAAAAACACAGGUCUAUGCAAAACCGUAAGGUGAAGUAUAUGGGCUGACGCCUGCCCGGUGCUGGAAGGUUAAGGGGAGAGGUUAGCGCAAGCGAAGCUUUGAACUUAAGCCCCAGUAAACGGCGGCCGUAACUAUAACGGUCCUAAGGUAGCGAAAUUCCUUGUCGGGUAAGUUCCGACCCGCACGAAAGGCGUAAUGAUUUGGGCACUGUCUCAACAAUGCACCCGGUGAAAUUGAAAUACCAGUGAAGAUGCUGGUUACCUGCGCCAGGACGGAAAGACCCCAUGGAGCUUUACUCCAGCUUGAUACUGGGAUUCGAUAUUGUAUGUACAGGAUAGGUGGGAGGCGAAGAAGCAUUGACGCCAGUUGGUGCGGAGCCGCUGUUGGGAUACCACCCUUGCAGUAUUGGAUUUCUAACCAGCAGCCGUGACCCGGCUGGGGGACAAUGUCAGGUGGGGAGUUUGACUGGGGCGGUCGCCUCCGAAAGGGUAUCGGAGGCGCUCAAAGGUUCCCUCAGAAUGGUUGGAAACCAUUCGAAGAGUGCAAAGGCAGAAGGGAGCUUGACUGCGACACCGACGGGUGGAGCAGGUACGAAAGUAGGACUUAGUGAUCCGGUGGUAUAAAGUGGGAUUGCCAUCGCUCAACGGAUAAAAGCUACCCUGGGAUAACAGGCUUAUCACUCCCAAGAGUUCACAUCGACGGAGUGGUUUGGCACCUCGAUGUCGGCUCAUCGCAUCCUGGGGCUGAAGUAGGUCCCAAGGGUUGGGCUGUUCGCCCAUUAAAGCGGUACGCGAGCUGGGUUCAGAACGUCGUGAGACAGUUCGGUCCCUAUCCGGCGUGGGCGUAGGAUAUUUGAGAGGAGCUGGCCUUAGUACGAGAGGACCGGGCUGGACUGACCGCUGGUGUAUCUGUUGUUCCGCCAGGAGCAUGGCAGAGUAGCCAAGUCAGGAAGGGAUAAACGCUGAAGGCAUCUAAGCGUGAAGCCCCCCUCAAGAUGAGAUAUCCCAACGCAAGUUGUAAGACCCCUUGAAGACGACAGGGUAGAUAGGGCAGAGGUGGAAGUGCAGUAAUGCAUGGAGCUGACUGUUACUAAUCGGUCGAGGGCAUAACCAU